UACGGGGGGAGCAAGCGUUGUUCGGAUUUACUGGGCGUAAAGGGCGCGUAGGCGGCCUCGCAAGUCGAGUGUGAAAGCCCCGGGCUCAACCUGGGAAUUGCGCUCGAGACUGUGGUGCUGGAGUUCGGGAGAGGAGCGUGGAAUUCCCAGUGUAGAGGUGAAAUUCGUAGAUAUUGGGAAGAACACCGGUGGCGAAGGCGGCGCUCUGGACCGAGACUGACGCUGAGGCGCGAAGGCGUGGGGAGCAAACAGG
rnacentral:rRNA from 1 species